UACGAAGGGGGCUAGCGUUGUUCGGAAUCACUGGGCGUAAAGCGCACGUAGGCGGAUUGUUAAGUCGGGGGUGAAAUCCUGAGGCUCAACCUCAGAACUGCCUUCGAUACUGGCGAUCUUGAGUUCGGAAGAGGUUGGUGGAACAGCUAGUGUAGAGGUGAAAUUCGUAGAUAUUAGCUAGAACACCAGUGGCGAAGGCGGCUCACUGGCCCGAUACUGACGCUGAGGCACGAAAGCGUGGGGAGCAAACAGG
rnacentral:rRNA from 1 species